rnacentral:piRNA from 1 species
UAUUCGGGCAUUCAGAACGGUCCUACAGUAA